rnacentral:rRNA from 1 species
UACGUAGGUGGCAAGCGUUGUCCGGAUUUAUUGGGUUUAAAGGGUGCGUAGGCGGCCAAUUAAGUCAGUGCUGAAAUACUCUAGCUUAACUAGAGGGGUGGCAUUGAUACUGAUUGGCUUGAGUGAAGUCGAAGUAGGCGGAAUUGACGGUGUAGCGGUGAAAUGCUUAGAUAUCGUCAAGAACACCGAUAGUGAAGACAGCUUACUAGACUUCAACUGACGCUGAGGCACGAAAGUGUGGGGAUCAAACAGG